AACCUUAUGGACCUGCGGGCGUAUACCUGCGGAAGGAUCAUUAUCGAGUUGCAAAACUCCAACCCUUUGUGAACAUACCUCAGUCGUUGCUUCGGCGGUGGACGGCCUGUUUUUCGGAACGGCCGGAAGCCGCCGGAGGUUCCAAACUCGUAUUUUUUAGUGUAUCUCUGAGCCUGAAAACAAAUAAUCAAAACUUUCAACAACGGAUCU
rnacentral:misc_RNA from 1 species